UCCUAGUUUCUUAUUGAAUAUCAUUUCUGUAGGUCUUUUGGUCAAAGCAAAUUAUGAAAUUUCAAUAAAAAAAAGUUUUUGUGAUAUUAUUUUGAAUGGUGUUACUAUUAUGCAUGGACAGUUGAACAAUGAUAUUUAUGUUGUAUCAUGACCUAAUAUAAUGUAUACGUCUAAUAAACGUUCUAGAAUAGUUGAUGUUAUGGAUGCCUAUC
rnacentral:lncRNA from 1 species